CCGUGUAACAAACGGCUCGUCUGAAAUUCCUGAGUGUACCCUGCUUUGCGGCGUAUUCGGUAUGAUACAUCUUCACCGGAGUUUCGACCUUUUGGGUUGGCGCUGAUAUCGUAUGGCUCUAUGCUUCGAACCGUCCCUGAAAAGGACAAUACUCUUGACAAUUUGACCUCAAAUCGGGUGGGACUACCCGCUGAACUUAA
rnacentral:misc_RNA from 1 species